UCACGAAAGUGGAUUGUACUAGAAGUCUGCGCGCUAACCCGCAAGGGAGGCAGCGGCCCAAGGUAUGAUUCAUGAUUGGGGUG
rnacentral:rRNA from 1 species